CACAGUCUGGCAGGGCUUGCAG
rnacentral:miRNA from 1 species